rnacentral:rRNA from 1 species
GAUGAACGCUGGCGGCGUGCCUAAUACAUGCAAGUCGAGCGAACAGACGAGGAGCUUGCUCCUCUGACGUUAGCGGCGGACGGGAGAGUAACACGUGGAUCACCUACCUAUAAGACUGGGAUAACUUCGGGAAACCGGAGCCAAUACCGGAUAAUAUAUUGAACCGCAUGGUUCAAUAGUGAAAGACGGUUUUGCUGUCACUUAUAGAUGGAUCCGCGCCGCAUUAGCUAGUUGGUAAGGUAACGGCUUACCAAGGCAACGAUGCGUAGCCGACCUGAGAGGGUGAUCGGCCACACUGGAACUGAAACACGGUCCAGACUCCUACGGGAGGCAGCAGUAGGGAAUCUUCCGCAAUGGGCGGAAGCCUGACGGAGCAACGCCACGUGAGUGAUGAAGGUCUUCGGAUCGUAAAACUCUGUUAUUAGGGAAGAACAAAUGUGUAAGUAACUAUGCACGUCUUGACGGUACCUAAUCAGAAAGCCACGGCUAACUACGUG